rnacentral:rRNA from 1 species
CAGCAGCCGCGGUAAUACCGGCGGCCCGAGUGGCGGUCACUAUUAUUGGGCUUAAAGCGUCCGUAGCCGGGUUGGGAAGUCCUCCGGGAAAUCUGGCCGCUUAACGGUCAGAAUGCCGGAGGAUACUCCCAGCCUAGGGAGCGGGAGAGGCCGAGGGGAUUCCCGGAGUAGGGGGGAAAUCCUAUAAUCCCGGGAGGACCACCUGUGGCGAAGGCGCUCGGCUGGAACGCGUCCGACGGUGAGGGACGAAGGCCAGGGGAGCAAACCGGAUUAGAUACCCGGGUAGUCCACGCCGUAAACGGUGGGCACUAGGUGUGGGGGGUUAAUCCCUCCGUGCCGAAGCUAACGCAUUAAGUGCCCCGCCUGGGGAGUACGGCCGCAAGGUUGAAACUUAAAGGAAUUGGCGGG